AUGAGUCCAAGGACAGCAUCCUGCAUGAACAGCAUGCAUGUCAUCUUAAAUAGGCCUCAACUAGGAGACCCUGCAGGCAACCAAGGGAAUGACUGCUGUGGAGACCCAAGUCAGAAGGCUGUCAAAGGGCAGCCUCAGCCAGAGCGGAGGAGAAACACACCAGACAACCGAGCAAAAGCAGGCCUUUCACAAGCAGUGGUAACAGUGGCGGUCACUCAUAAUGGAGUGCCAAAAGGGAUGCAGAAAGAGGCAAACAAGAGGACAAAGGGCCAGAUGCCAGAGCCAACACUUUCCAAAGAAUUAGCCACACUGGAAAAGGCUUUUAAUUCAGCCGCCUUAUUCGUAUGCAAGAAGUCUAUUCCCAUUUUUAGGACAGUGGCUUGUUUUCCAUGA
rnacentral:lncRNA from 1 species